rfam:Camelus ferus isolate Naran unplaced genomic scaffold scaffold15779, whole genome shotgun sequence.
GAGGGCAUAGCUCAGUGGCAGAGCCCGUGACUAGCAUGCACGAGGUCCUGGGUUCAAUCCCCAGCACCUCCA